UGGAGGUCAUUAACUUGAAAUUUCAUGUCUUGCUAUGUCUUCGGCAUGUUCAUUAUUCAGUUUGUACAUUUUUCACAUCUAGAGGAGUGUUGCACUCCUCUAGAAAGGAAAAAAAAAUUGAAAAUCAAAUUAUACAUGUAGCGACAAAAGCAAGAUCAUAUAUAUCAAACACAAUGCCUUUAUUAUAGCAUUGGAAAGGUAGGACACCAAAGAGCCAGGGAAGGUGUUGCAACAGUUGCCCCAUUCGGGAGAGUGCUUCUUGCACUGGGUUGAGCGAUCCCAGCCAUCCUCCCUGGGUAUCCCAAGUUGCUACCGAAGUUCGUCAAUCAAUCCCUGGAUGCUCUGGAUGCUCGAGCAGAGCAUUGUCCUGUGCACUAUGGAUGUUGCCCAUGUACAACACAGUGUCCACCGGCCCCUUGUUAGCCUCGUCAGUUAUGUCCAUGUAUAUCUACAUCCGACGCCUCUUUCUGGGACUAGGCUUCUACAAGCCAAUCUAUUAGUCAUCCAAACAAUAGAUUUUUUUUAAUUGUGGCCAAUUUCAAUACCAAAACACAAUUCAACUCCAUGUCCCUAUAACUCCACGCAGAUUGGACUAGCAGUAGGCACCCACACUACAAGGGGCACAUGAUCCCAAAAAAGACGUCCCAAACGAUCACGAGGUCAUCGUUGUCAAACAAACUCAAACUACACGACCAUGGAACGACAACCCACACCUUGGUACUCAGCUCUGCUCAUAAAUAUUUCAACCAUUCUGCACCUGUAAGGAUCUGCUACACUGACAUUUUGGAACUGCCUCGUUACAAAAUAGUAUAAGGCCGUGUUUAGUUCCCAAAAAUUUUGGAAAAUGGACACUGUAGCAUUUUCGUUUGUAUUUGACAAAUAUUGUCCAAUCAUGAACUAACUAGGCUCAAAAGAUUCGUCUCGUCAAUUUCGACCAAACUGUGCAAUUAGUUUUUAUUUUGGUCUAUAUUUAAUACUCCAUGCAUGCGUCUAAAGAUUCGAUGUGACGGGAAAUCUGAAAAAUUUUGCAAAAUUUUUUGGGAAGGAAACAAGGCCUAAGCUGUGGUACAGCCUAUCUCAUUGCAAAACAGUAGCAUAAGCUGCGCUACAGCCUACAGUGCCUUGCAAGCAAUGAAAGCCUCAACCUCUGUUUGAGUAAAACUUAGCUACAGCAACCAAAAUUCUACCGACAACCCAUC
rnacentral:lncRNA from 1 species